CUGGUCAGUGGGAAUCCGCUCCAUCCCCACUGCACUCCAAAGGCCGUGGCUGCGUCGGAAUCGUCUCCAGAGAGCGAAUGGGGUGGUGCUUCGUCCAUCUUGGGAGGGGGCUGCGCACACAUCCACUUCCAUCUCUCCCUUACAGGGUCUUGUGCUGUGCUCUUGAAUCUCUCCGCUCUUUUCCUUCUCCUUGAGGAUGGGGGACAUUUCAGCGUGGCAUCUUGGUCCACCGCCUCCUCUGUGUUGGGGGAGGCCGACCAGCCCAUCCCUCUGUCCCUGCCCAUGCCGAUCCUCUUCUGGUGGUGGCAGUGCCAGGUGUCUCCAACGUAGAGGUGACCAGAGCGAUGCGCCGCCACUGAUGUCGGCGGUCAGGUCCUGGAUCGGCUCUGUGUUUGCGCCAGCUGCGACAGUGGACAAGCCUGUGCCACCCAUAUGAUUAGGCAAUGUGUCGACGUGACUCGAGCGUCUCCUCACCUGGCUCUCACACUGCCCACUAGUGGUGGUGGGGGUCUGCGCCACCGCGAAGUGGAUGCACAUCAGGUGGCAACCGGCACAACGGGGGAGCGGCUGGGAGGAGCCUACUAAUCAGAUGGUUAAAAUCUCUACAUCAGCAGCAGCACGACCGGUUUUUACUCCUUCUAGUGGGACAGACGCGUCUGCUCGUCACAUGACCACGCCGCACCGCGCCCCUGGCUCCAACGCAGCGCCAGCAGUGCAGAGUUCAGCGGGCCGCUUCACCUCCACAUCCGCGAACCCGCGCGACAACGUCUUCUUCUAGGCUCUUUCAGUGCACCUGAAAGCAAAUAGCGCCUGGCGCCAUUGCGGAACGACUUCCACGAAACUGAUCGCACCCGCGAUGCUCACCAACGGGUAGCGAUGCGUCGGUGCAGCUCCCAGUAGCACAGCAGAAGACAACGCCCCGGGGCAGAUGGUGCCCCGGAGAAGGCACCGGCACCUGACAGAGGUCUGACUGGACUGCGCAAUGCAGCCGCUGUUCCCGCCGCUGCCAGCUCCCACCGCCGCUUCGGAGGCCAACAAACCGACUGUCAUAGUAUAGAAUGCGUCGCAGGCCGCAGAGGAAGACCCACAGGUGCAUCGCAACAAGCUACGUGCCACCAAAGGACUCGUAGAGUGACCGGAAGUGCAGAGGCAGCAGCAACGACGGCGUGGCGCAACGUGGGAGCCGAAAAAUGGUGAGAUGAUCACGUUUGCCGCCUCCACUCGCCAGGUGCUUGGCAGGUGAGGGACUGUGUAAGCGAGCCGCGCACAAGCAUGGAGGAGUUGAGGCGGGAACAGUAGAGAGAGAGGCGCGCACUGCCGGGCUUCUUCUCCCUCCCACACUCCCUCUCCGUGCUUCUGUGCGCCAUACGCGAAAAUGUAGCUUUUCUUUGUUCGUUCUUGGCAAGCACCAGUGCGUGCUUACACCUUCUCACUCAGCCGCGAGGACCGCGUGAAGCGGCGGCAGUCCAGCCGGGGUGUAUCCGCACCACCUCUCUCCACCGUGCUCUUCCCCCUUCCUUGUUUUCUUUCUCGUGUGUGUGGUGUGUGUGCUUGUGCUUCUGUGAUAGGGUGUGUGCGACGUUUUCUGCGGUGCUGCACUUGCGCCAUCUCCCCCUCGGCUUCUCCGUCUCUCCUCUUCUCAUCGUUUCCGCUCGCCAUACUCGUCUUCGGGCCGCCAUUAUUGCGACGGCUUCUCCGUUUCAUGUGUCUCUUAUAUAUAUAUCUGCGUGCUGCCCUACGCGUGAAGGCCGUCUCCUCAUUCUUCUUUGUGUGCCUUUCAGCUGCCUGCUAACACUCGGCUUCCCCUCCCCCCCGCUUCUUCCUCGUUGUUGAAUCUCUGCUCUCUGCUCUCUGCUCUCACUCGUCCUUUUCGUCGCUCUCCGCAUGGGACUUGUACUUUC
rnacentral:misc_RNA from 1 species